GGUAGGGUGGCCGAAGACAGGCAGUGGGUUGUAGCCCCGAAGAUAGAGGUUUAAGUCCUCUCCCUAUCA
rnacentral:tRNA from 1 species